CAGCACUAGACCUCAAACCAGGGCACAGUUCCUGGCAGAGCCAUCACAUCCUGAGAGCAGAGGUCCUGCAGCUGUUUUGCGUCAAAUGACUCAUAGAUGCCACGCAGCAAACAAAAUUGUCCUCGAGUGAGGCCUGGAAAGAUUUCUUUGUUCAAUGAGAGAGGCAGAAGCUGUCUCCAAGCAACAAUUCCUUCCAGUGAGGAAGUAUACAUCCAAAGGGGAGUGUUUUAGCUACCAGAGGACACGGGACAAGGUGCUUGCCCUUGGAACACCUGGCCAGGUUACUGCCAGCUUUGCCCUAAGAAGGCCUGGAAAAACACCCAUGCCUCAGAGCCUGUGAGUCAUCUGGGUGUAGACACUGUUAUGCUUCAUUCUUGCAACAUAAAGAGCUAAGGGAGUCCAGACAAAAUAGGCUGGAGUUUUAUGACACUCUUUUUUAACCUUCUAAUAUUUUUAUUUCAUGUGAAUGGGUGCUUUGCCUGCAUGUAUAUCUGUGCACCAUGAGCAUGCAGUGCCCAUAGAGGCCAGAAAAGGAUGGCAGAUUGCCUGGGACUGCAGUUACAGACGGUUGCGAGCUGUCACAUGUGUGUUGCCAAUCAAACCCAGGUCCUCUGGAAGAUCAGCCCGUGCUCGUUUAACCACUGAGCUUCUCUCCGGCCCUGUAACACUUUCUAAAGACAACUUUAGAAAGUAUUCACUUCAUGACCUGAAUCGGCUGUUUUAAAGGCUGGGUUCAAAGAAUUUCCUUCAGGCAGUGACCUGAAGAGGGACACCUGGCCCUGAUGUCACAAAAAUGCUGAUCCUGAGGAGAAAUGGUUUCUGGAAGAUCAGCUGGGAGAGUCCUGAGCCUAACACCCCAGGACAGUGGCCACACCCAGUACCAGAGUGCACCCCACCUCCCUCCUGGGCUUUACAACCUGGCAUUUAAUUUGGAAGGAGACAUUUGUUUCCGGUGGUAAAGUGGAAGUUUUGAGAAAUAGAUGCCUUCUGUCUUUGCCUUUCUUGAUUUUCCUUCUGCCUCCUGAGCUGAGCAGACAGAGUUCAUUUUGAAGGAAAAGGGUGAAGAACCUGGGAAGGUGUUGACAGAAGUCUCUCAUUCCAGGUGACAAGAUAAUGUCCCACUCCUGGAGUAUGGAGCCAGAGAUGCCACAGCUGGGUUCACACUCUACAAAUUAUGGAUGUCUGUGCCCUGAAUGUCUGUGUCCUAGGGUGUGUACUGUCAUGUGAAUAUAUGCUAGAGCCUUCUCACCCAGGAAAAUUUCACAUGACUCAGGCAUAUGACUGUAUAAAAAUGGGUAUAGAAAGCAAAGAUUGGUGCCCGGCAUUAGUGGCACACGCCUUUAAUCCCAGCACUCGGGAGGCAGAGGCAGGCAGAUCUCUGUGAGUUAGAGGCCAGCCUGGUCUCCAGAGCGAGUGCCAGGAUAGGCUCCAAAGCUACACAGAGAAACCCUGUCUCGAAAAACCAAAGAAAGAAAAAAAAGAAAAGAAAAGAAAGAAAGAAAGAAAGAAAGCAAAUAUUGACAAAUAAUGCAUUGUUAAAAUUUACUUAUUUAUUGGUUUUUUGAGACAGGGUUUCUCUGUGGCUUUGGAGGCUGUCCUGGAACUAGCUCUUGUAGACCAGGCUGGUCUUGACCUCACAGAGAUUCUCCUGCCUCUGCCUCCUGAGUGCUGGGAUUAAAGGCAUGAGCCACCAACCCCU
rnacentral:lncRNA from 1 species